CUAGGGUUUUAUUCAUUUCACCCCGCCCCCCAUCUCUUUCUACUCUUUCUCUCUCAAGAACCAUUCACGAUUUUAAGUCCCUUUUGCCUAAUUUGAACGAGUUUUUGCAAGAAUUGAAGACAUUUAUGCAUGUAUUGAAAGUCAAGCUUACACGGGCAUGCCGAUUUGAAGCAUUCGAAGGUAUGGAACCUUGAAACAUUGGAGUGUUUACAGGUUUUGACAGAUCAUACAAGUGUUGUUAUGUCUGUUCUAUGCUGGGAUCAGUUUCUUUUAUCGUGUUCACCGGACAAAACGAUAAAGGUCUGGGCUGCUAAUGAGAGUGGGAACUUGGAGGUUACAUAUACUAAUCAAGAAGAACGUGCUAAUGAUUGUGCUUGUUCUUGUACUCUAAUACCACCAACACGCUCAAUAACAACUGGAAGAAAAUGAGUAGUAAGUGCCGGAAUCAAUUGCUUCACAAACUCCUCCAUAUUUGUUGUCGGUAAAGAAACCAAAGGUGGUACUGAUGAUGUGGAAGCAUUGCAGGCACAAAGUUUUUUCCCAAAGUAACUGGCAGCUUCAGACCCAAGAUCAAAUAAUCUUUUCUUCUUUGCUCCUCCCGCAAAUUCAUAAGAUGUUUCCAAUUGAUCAAUUUCAGAUUUACACUGUAAUUUUCCCGUACAAUUUCUUCAUAUCUUACCUGUAACAAGUGAAUUUUGGACUUAAUU